rnacentral:rRNA from 1 species
AUAUUGGUCAAUGGACGCAAGUCUGAACCAGCCAUGCCGCGUGCAGGAUGACGGCUCUAUGAGUUGUAAACUGCUUUUGUACGAGGGUAAACGCAGAUACGUGUAUCUGUCUGAAAGUAUCGUACGAAUAAGGAUCGGCUAACUCCGUGCCAGCAGCCGCGGUAAUACGGAGGAUUCAAGCGUUAUCCGGAUUUAUUGGGUUUAAAGGGUGCGUAGGCGGUUUGAUAAGUUAGAGGUGAAAUUUCAGGGCUCAACCCUGAACGUGCCUCUAAUACUGUUGAGCUAGAGAGUAGUUGCGGUAGGCGGAAUGUAUGGUGUAGCGGUGAAAUGCUUAGAGAUCAUACAGAACACCGAUUGCGAAGGCAGCUUACCAAACUAUAUCUGACGUUGAGGCACGAAAGCGUGGGGAGCAAACAGGAUUAGAUACCCUGGUAGUCCACGCAGUAAACGAUGAUAACUCGUUGUCGGCGAUACACAGUCGGUGACUAAGCGAAAGCGAUAAGUUAUCCACCUGGGGAGUACGUUCGCAAGAAUGAAACUCAAAGGAAUUGACGGGGGCCCGCACAAGCGGAGGAACAUGUGGUUUAAUUCGAUGAUACGCGAGGAACCUUACCCGGGCUUGAAAGUUAGCGACGAUUCUUGAAAGAGGAUUUCCCUUCGGGGCGCGAAACUAGGUGCUGCAUGGUUGUCGUCAGCUCGUGCCGUGAGGUGUCGGGUUAAGUCCCAUAACGAGCGCAACCCCUACCGUUAGUUGCCAUCAGGUGAAGCUGGGCACUCUGGCGGGACUGCCGGUGUAAGCCGAGAGGAAGGUGGGGAUGACGUCAAAUCAGCACGGCCCUUACGUCCGGGGCUACACACGUGUUACAAUGGUAGGUACAGAGGGCAGCUACCCAGCGAUGGGAUGCGAAUCUCGAAAGCCUAUCUCAGUUCGGAUUGGAGGCUGAAACCCGCCUCCAUGAAGUUGGAUUCGCUAGUAAUCGCGCAUCAGCCAUGGCGCGGUGAAUACGUUCCCGGGCCUUGUACACACCGCCCGUCAAGCCAUGGGAGCCGGGGGUGCCUGAAGUUCGUGACCGCAAGGAGCGACCUAGGGCAAAACUGGUGACUGGGGCUAAGUCGUAACAAGGUAGCCGUACCGGAAGGUGCGGCUG